GACGGAGGAUGCAAGCGUUAUCCGGAAUGAUUGGGCGUAAAGCGUCUGCAGGUGGCAGUUCAAGUCUGCUGUCAAAGACCGGGGCUUAACUUCGGAAAGGCAGUGGAAACUGAACAGCUAGAGUAUGGUAGGGGCAGAGGGAAUUCCUGGUGUAGCGGUGAAAUGUGUAGAUAUCAGGAGGAAUACCGAUGGCGAAGGCAGGUCUCUGGGCUGACACUGACGCUCAUGCACGAAAGCGUGGGGAGCAAACAGG
rnacentral:rRNA from 1 species